rnacentral:lncRNA from 1 species
AUGCGCCACUUUUCUGUCCUUUGCUUGGCCGAUCUUACCUAUCAGCACAGCCGGGCCACUGUCAGGACACUAACAGGAGUUUCCUUAUCUUCAUCCUGUUACUCGUAUCCCCUAAGGUCUCCGGUUUCUACCUCGGGACUCAGAGAACUCUCCGGAACAUGUUCCCGACCCUCGACCCUCGACCCUCAACCCUGGGGGAUUGCUCCAGACGACCCUCUGCUGGACCUGACGCCCGCCGCCCGCCGGCUGUCCUUACAAGCACGGUCAAGAAUACGCCGUCCUUUCACGUGGCCUUUAGUUGACUUACAGCGCUGUGCCAAUUUCUGCUGUACAGCAAAGGGCCUCAGUCUCGCAACACUCUCGUCCACCUCCGUCUAUCCCAGGCGACUGGACAGAGCUGCCUGUGCCGCGCAGUCGGACUUCGUUGCCUACCCACUCUCCACGUGAUCGUUUGCAUCCACGGUGUAUCUGUCGUGAGGUUCUCCACGGACACCCUCGCCAUCCUUAAGGGUGUACACGGUUUCCUUGUCUCCAACUGGCUCGUCUGCCUCCUGCUUUUACCGCACUGAUGGGGGCCUCCGACCCAGCGCGGUCCAGGGAGAGCAGACAGGCGCCUUCCGACCACAGGGGCCCAGCGGUGCGGAGGCACGGGACGGACGACGCUGUUAACGAUGCUUUUUUGUACACGGAUUUUUCUUAGAAUGAGGACAUCUCACUUUGUUCUAGUACAUUUUUUUUUUUAAAUCAAGUUUGGAUGUUGAAUUUUAUUAAUAUGUUUUCCUGCAUCAAAUGAGAUGAACUUUAUAAAUAUUUACCUCAACUUUUGAGGUGAAUUACAACGACUGAUUUUUAAAUGUUGAAUUCAUGUGUGUACCUGAAAUAAACUGUUGGCAAUAAUGCA